GAAAAUAAAAGAAGAGAUCUUCUAAAGAGGUUAAGAAAAUCCUAGUCGUUGAACACGGAGAGUCAAUUUGAAAGAAAAUUGAAGAACCUUUGCGAAAACACCAAGGAGUUCAUAAUAUGCGCAGAUCUAAGACAGAUCUGAAAGAAAAAAUAGAAAGAUUUUAAAGCUAGGGUUUCAGAGAACCCGAAAAGUGAGAAAGACUAUGUUAUCGAUCUAGCCAGAAAAGUCAAGCAUCUGACUCUAACAACCAUGGAUAGAAGGCGGCUACUAGGGUUAGACUUAGGUUUC
rnacentral:lncRNA from 1 species